UGCCCUCCGUAGGGUGAACCUGCGGAGGGRWCAUUACACAAAUAURMAGGCGGGCUGGAACCUCUCGGGGUUACAGCCUUGCUGAAUUAUUCACCCUUGUCUUUUGCGUACUUCUUGUUUCCUUGGUGGGUUCGCCCACCACUAGGACAAACAUAAACCUUUUGUAAUUGCAAUCAGCGUCAGUAACAAAUUAAUAAUUACAACUUUCAACAACGGAUCUCUUGGUUCUGGCAUCGAUGAAGAACGCAGCGAAAUGCGAUAAGUAGUGUGAAUUGCAGAAUUCAGUGAAUCAUCGAAUCUUUGAACGCACAUUGCGCCCUUUGGUAUUCCAAAGGGCAUGCCUGUUCGAGCGUCAUUUGUACCCUCAAGCUUUGCUUGGUGUUGGGCGUCUUGUCUCUAGCUUUGCUGGAGACUCGCCUUAAAGUAAUUGGCAGCCGGCCUACUGGUUUCGGAGCGCAGCACAAGUCGCACUCUCUAUCAGCAAAGGUCUAGCAUCCAUUAAGCCUUUUUUUCAACUKUUGACCUCGGAUCAGGUAGSGAURCCCGYUKAACUUAAGCAUAUCAAUAAGCGGGAGGAAAU
rnacentral:rRNA from 1 species